rnacentral:rRNA from 1 species
UACGAAGGGGGCGAGCGUUGUUCGGAAUUACUGGGCGUAAAGGGCGCGUAGGCGGCCCCUUUUGUCGCGUGUGAAAGCCCCGGGCUCAACCUGGGAACUGCAUUCGAGACUGCAUUGCUAGAGUAUGGGAGAGGGAAGUGGAAUUUCCGGUGUAGCGGUGAAAUGCGUAGAUAUCGGAAGGAACAUCAGUGGCGAAAGCGACUUCCUGGACCAAUACUGACGCUCAUGUGCGAAAGCGUGGGGAGCAAACAGG